rnacentral:misc_RNA from 1 species
GAUGAAGAACGUAGCGAAAUGCGAUAAGUAAUGUGAAUUGCAGAAUUCAGUGAAUCAUCGAAUCUUUGAACGCACAUUGCGCCCCUUGGUAUUCCGAGGGGCAUGCCUGUUCGAGCGUCAUAUUAACCACUCCCGCUUGCGGGGUCUUGGGCUUCGCCUCCGGGCGGGCCUUAAAAUCAGUGGCGGUGCCGUCGGGCUCUACGCGUAGUAAAUUUUCUCGCGAUAGGGUCCUGGUGGAUGCUUGCCAACAACCCCCAACUUCUUAAGGUUGACCUCGGAUCAGGUAGGGAUACCCGCUGAACUUAAGCAUAUCAAUAAGCGGAGGA